rnacentral:lncRNA from 1 species
UAGCCUGCAGCAGAGAUGAAGAGGAGCUUUCUGCAUGAAGAAUUGGACAAUACACAUUCCAGACCUCUCCAGUUCAUUGUGACGAGCGAUCAGUCUAAGAGUGUCUUCGUUUGGGCUGCUGACCUCUAAAGAUGAUCCGAUACGUAAGGAACCUAGAGCCAUAAACCUUGCCUCGCUAGACUUGCCAGAAAAAGGUAAGAAAACGGCAGGGGAAAACAAAGCCAACAAAAUGCAAAAUGAGAGCCUAGACUCUCAGAGAAGGCUGAUUACUGAGACGCGUUACGGCCAACGUCCAUU